rnacentral:rRNA from 1 species
CCUACGGGAGGCAGCAGUGGGGAAUCUUGCGCAAUGGGCGAAAGCCUGACGCAGCCAUGCCGCGUGAAUGAUGAAGGUCUUAGGAUUUGUAAAAUUCUUUCACCGAGGACGAUAAUGACGGUACUCGGAGAAGAAGCCCCGGCUAACUUCGUGCCAGCAGCCGCGGUAAUACGAAGGGGGCUAGCGUUGCUCGGAAUUACUGGGCGUAAAGGGAGCGUAGGCGGAUAGUUUAGUCAGAGGUGAAAGCCCAGGGCUCAACCUUGGAAUUGCCUUUGAUACUGGCUAUCUUGAGUACGGAAGAGGUAUGUGGAACUCCGAGUGUAGAGGUGAAAUUCGUAGAUAUUCGGAAGAACACCAGUGGCGAAGGCGACAUACUGGUCCGUUACUGACGCUGAGGCUCGAAAGCGUGGGGAGCAAACAGGAUUAGAUACCCUGGUAGUCCACGCUGUAAACGAUGAGUGCUAGUUGUCGGCANNNAUNCAUGUCGUGCGCAGCUACGCAUAAGUACACUCCGCCGUCGGGAGGUACGGUCGCGAGAAGUUAAACGUAACGAAAGAAGUUAGACGGCGUGAGACGUGACCGACGGACGACGACGAGGGAGGAGG